CUCGGCCAGGUGCUCUCUUCCCUCCGCAUCGCGGAGCGGCGCCGCCGCCGUCCCCACCACUCCCCCGAGGGGCGGCAGCCGCAGCCGCCGCCGCCCCGGCGCAGGCGCAGCCGCCCGCCCGCCUCCCGCCGCCACCGCCCGGAGGGUCCCCCGGCCCCGCCCCGCCGCAGCGAGCGCGGCCUCCGCAGGCACCAUCGGAGGUCCGGGCGCCCGCCGGCCCCGCGGGAAGAUGUUGUCACGCUGCAGCCUGAUGGAUGAUCCCACACAGAAUCAGUGAAUCAGUUAGGUUGGAAAAGACUUCUGCAAUCACUGAGUCCAGCCCAUGAUGGAUCAUAACCUUGUCAACUAGACCAGAGCAUAUCCAGGCUUUCCUUAAAUAUCUCCAGGGAUGGUGACUCUACCACCUCCCUUGGCAGGCCCUUCCAAUAUCUAAUCACCCUUUCUGUGAAAAAAAAUUCCUCCUGAUGUACAACCUACACCUUCCCUGGCACAGCUUAAAACCCUGUCUUCUCAUCCUGUCGCUGGCUGCCUGGGAGAAGAGGCUAAUCCCCACCUGGCUAAACCUCCUUUCAGGUAGUUGAAGAAGUAAUGGUGAAAGCCACAAGCUUUUCAAGUAAGGAAAUAAUUAAUAGAGGUUGUACUGGUCAGAAGACAUUAUUAGGUAAAAAUAAAAAAAAGCUUAGGAAAAAAAAACAGGAUACAGAAAACUGGAUGGUAGGAAGUGGGUAAGGGUUCCCUCACCAAAUAUGUCCUGUUUAAAAGUAGGUAGAGCACCUGUGAAAUUAAAAAUGCUGAUGGCAAGUGAUGAUUGUUUCAGGUGUAAUACUGCUGUAGUUUUAAGAAUUCAGCUGUGAUACAUCCUUUAUGUAUCUUCACAUAAAAAGUCUUGCUGUCCUGGAGAUGUGCUGGGCGUAUAAGUUUUCAAAAAAGUGCAUAAAGGAAAAAUAACAAAAAAAAACUACUUAUUUGAUUACUUUUGAGCUUCAAAUAUUUUAAGCUUUCUUCGUUUAGUAUGAGCAGGAUUAAAGCUGUCUUUUACAUGAGGAAGUCUUGUCAUCAAGUAGUCCUGACCUAUCAUAAUAACAUCUGCUUGAAUUGUUUGCCUGAAUUCUACCUUGGAUAUGUAGCUGAAGUAGUUUUGAGUAGUCAUUUAAGCUAAUACUAAAGAAAACUGCUGCACCCCGUUGGUUUGACUUUACUUGGCAGUCACCAACAUUCAUGGACACUGAACUGUAUAAAUGUGUUAAUCAGAUAAGUAAUCUUUUUUAAAAUAAACUCAGGUUAGAUUUAGUCCAGAUAACUGCCAUCUGAUCUGUGGUGCAGGUUGCAUAAAUGUUCAUGCUAAUACAAGGAAACACAAUAAAAAAGAGAGCAGGAUCAUUUUCAAUUGUAGCAAUAGUAUAGGAGCAUGAUUGCAUAAUGUUAGAGUGAAUUUUAAAACACUGAAAAUUUGUUUCAGUAGGAAAAAAUUACUUCUCACAUAACUAAUAAGAAAGUUGUAUGUUCUGCCAAUAUUGAAAGACCUUUUCACCUCCAAAUUGCUUCAUGAAACAGAAGUACUGGCAUGCUAAACUCCUUUCUGGGGCUCUGAGCAAGCCAGACCAGAAUGGCAAUAUUAAAAUUAAAUUAGCCAUUGCAUAUAUUUCUGAGCUGCCACUUCUGACCAAAGUCUCCAUUGAUAUUGGUUGUAUCAUUUGAAGGACUAUACAAGUAUGUUGUGGCUGUUACCCUCUAGAUAUGUGUAUAUUUGCAUAGGAGCUAUCGAAAUUAAAUUAAAUUAAAUUAAAUUAAGGCAAGGACUUGUUUAUAAAGUGGACUUAAUGAGGACUGCUUGAUGGUGGUUUUUAUGUGGACAUUAUUCUUAAGUGCUUUUUACAUAAUGGAAAGAAAAUAGACCUAAUAGUUUUCAAAACCCAGUAGUGAUACUAGAAGCACUUUCUUUAAAAAUAAAAUUUAGUUUACAUUACUACUUAUUUGGAAAUUUCAAAAAUUAUCUUCUGUUGUAGAGUGCAGAAAUCCAUGGAACUGUUCUUCUUGCACAGUAGCCUCUGAAGUGUACAUAUAUAUUUUAAAUAAUCCUCUUGAUUAUUCAAGUCUUAUUCACAGUAUGUUUCCAAGUGUGUCUAUAGAACAUUUAACAGGGAUUAUAUACUGUAUUAGUGUUGAACAUAUAAGCUGUAUUCUAAUAAACUAUUCUUAAAGGAA